rnacentral:rRNA from 1 species
AGUGAACGCUGGCGGUAGGCCUAACACAUGCAAGUCGAACGGCAGCACAGUAAGAGCUUGCUCUUACGGGUGGCGAGUGGCGGACGGGUGAGGAAUACAUCGGAAUCUACUUUUUCGUGGGGGAUAACGUAGGGAAACUUACGCUAAUACCGCAUACGACCUACGGGUGAAAGCAGGAGAUCUUCGGACCUUGCGCGAUUGAAUGAGCCGAUGUCGGAUUAGCUAGUUGGCGGGGUAAAGGCCCACCAAGGCGACGAUCCAUAGCUGGUCUGAGAGGAUGAUCAGCCACACUGGAACUGAGACACGGUCCAGACUCCUACGGGAGGCAGCAGUGGGGAAUAUUGGACAAUGGGCGCAAGCCUGAUCCAGCCAUACCGCGUGGGUGAAGAAGGCCUUCGGGUUGUAAAGCCCUUUUGUUGGGAAAGAAAAGCAGCAGGUUAAUACCCCGCUGUUCUGACGGUACCCAAAGAAUAAGCACCGGCUAACUUCGUG